CCACAAACUGUGAGAUCCUGACCUGAUCCGAAGUCGGAGCUUAACCAACUGAGCCACCCAGGCGCCCCUCAAUGAACUCCAUAUUUGAAAGCCUGGCUAAAAUGAUUAGGAACCAGUGUUUCCUUUUAAAGGGUUACCAGCCAUGAGAAAGAUGUCAUAAGCUCAGAACUGUAGAAGGUUACUUUUGUCACCUGCCGUUGGACCUACCUGUCUAAGAAAUCUAGAGAAUAACAUCAGGUUUAGGUAUUGAGUGUAAUUUGUGAUAACCAGCCUCCAAGAAAGUCUCUUAGAGAGUCCCUUGAUAAUUCUUGCCACCUGCUAUUCACCCUUGUGGAGGCCCUACUUUGAAUAGAGCUGAUCUGUGUAAGGAUAGGAUAUUACAGAAAUAAUGGGAGUUUGAAUUCCAAAACUCGGUCAUCAAAGAUAUUACAGCUUCCACUUGUCCUCUCAUGGGAAACUUGCUUGGAGAGAAGCCAGCUGCAUGUCCUAAGGACAUCGGUAGCUUUGUGGAGACUUGCCUGUAGGGUGCAACUUGAGGACUCCCACAAGCACAUGGCAGAUUCCUCUUCCGCAUCAGUAGAGCCUUCAGGUGACCUCAGCCCCAGCCAACACUUUCACUGCAACCUCAUGAGAGGCCUUGGGCCAGAACCACCAAAGAAACUGAUUCUGAGUUCUUGAUGUGCAGAAAUUGUGUGAGGUAUUUUUGAGAGGCUGCUAUGUGCCUGACACUGUUAGAAGCUGGAGAAACCAUGGUGUGAGUCCCUGUGUUCUUCAUAGAACUUGAACUACCUGAGGGCAUGGAUUACAUCUUCUUCUUAUCCCCAGUACUUAGCAGAGCCUCUGGAGCAGGGAAGAUGCCUCUUAAAGAUCUCUUGUGUGUUGGAAGACCAUCACUAUGCUGUUUGACAAUUGGGAAUCAGUCACAUUGGGUCAUCAUAUAGUCACCAAAUUAAUGAUCUCUCCAGGCCCCCACACAUGUUGCUUUGUGCCUUUUCUCAAAGUUGGUUUAAAACAAAAGCUCACUGGGGGACCUAGAUGGCUCAAGCAGUUAAGUAUCCUGACUCUUGAUCUCAGCUCAGGACUUAUUCUCAGGGUCCUGAGUUCAGAGUUUAGGCCCUACAUUGGGCUUUGCCAUGAGGAUGAAGCCUACUUGAAGUAAAUAAAUACAUAAAAAAUAAAAAUAAAACAAAAGGUCAUCUACAAUUCAAUUGCAUUGCAGACGGUCUGCCUUAGUCAGGCUGGUGACACUCCAAAUCCACAUUUCCAGCAGAUCUCUAGGAGAAGGCAGGUGGAUUGGGAGGGGUGGCCCAGGAACGUGGGGAGUUUAAAGAAAGACAAAGGGAAAAAAAUUAGCUGUUGGAAGAGGAGAUGGAAGCCAAACACAAGGCUUGUGUCUUCCUCUCUCCAUUUUCCUAGGGCCAGUCGGCCCUGAUAAAACUCAACAAGUUAGUUUCAAUCUGAGGUCUGAAAAUAAAUGAAGCAUUCUAGAUGACCUAAAGCCAGAAAAUAACUGAAUAACAUUUUAAAAGAUGCUCCAGCCCUGGGUAAAGUACUGCAGUUGGCAGCCUGCUGAGGUCUGCAUCCUUGACAGCUUCGGAUUGCUGGCAUUGCUGUUGCUGAUGGAUGUAUUAAGAGCUGAUGAAAUAACUUGCAGAUUUUACACCUAACAAUGCAAAUAUUCCCUUUAUUCAUAGAUAAUCAGAUAUGCUCAGAGGAGUCUCAUGAGCUAGUUUUGGAGUGUCAUCAGAUUUUGUGGUUUAAAAUCUAUAUCCAGAUAUGUGGUGGUCAGAGAGGCUCUUCUCUAGGCCAAUUAAUUCAUGAGAUGAUGAGAUCACAGUAAUCACAGAAAUAUUCCACUGUUUGGAAGACUUGCAUUCCAAAGUGGAUAUUAAGGUAAUUUGCUUAUCUUAAUCCCAUCUUGUAUUAACCUGCGUUUCAAAAUGAUGAUGUGUUUUGGAAUCUCAGGCCUACCUAUGAAGAA